CUAACACAUGCAAGUCGAACGGACGAAGGGAGCUUGCUCCCCUAGUUAGUGGCGAACGGGUGAGUAACGCGUGAGCAACCUGCCUUUCAGAGGGGGACAACGGUUGGAAACGACCGCUAAUACCGCAUGAAGCAUUUGGAGCGCAUGAUCUGAAUGCCAAAGAUUUAUCGCUGAAAGAUGGGCUCGCGUCUGAUUAGAUAGUUGGUGAGGUAACGGCCCACCAAGUCGACGAUCAGUAGCCGGACUGAGAGGUUGAACGGCCACAUUGGGACUGAGAUACGGCCCAGACUCCUACGGGAGGCAGCAGUGGGGAAUAUUGGGCAAUGGGGGAAACCCUGACCCAGCAACGCCGCGUGAAGGAAGAAGGCUUUCGGGUUGUAAACUUCUUUUACCGAGGACGAAGAACGUGACGGUACUCGGAGAAAAAGCCACGGCUAACUACGUGCCAGCAGCCGCGGUAAUACGUAGGUGGCAAGCGUUGUCCGGAUUUACUGGGUGUAAAGGGCGUGUAGGCGGAGCAGCAAGUCAGAAGUGAAAUCUCCGGGCUUAACCCGGAAACUGCUUUUGAAACUGUUGCCCUUGAGUAUCGGAGAGGCAGGCGGAAUUCCUAGUGUAGCGGUGAAAUGCGUAGAUAUUAGGAGGAACACCAGUGGCGAAGGCGGCCUGCUGGACGACAACUGACGCUGAGGCGCGAAAGCGUGGGGAGCAAACAGGAUUAGAUACCCUGGUAGUCCACGCCGUAAACGAUGGAUACUAGGUGUGGGGGGACUGACCCCUUCCGUGCCGCAGUUAACACAAUAAGUAUCCCACCUGGGGAGUACGAUCGCAAGAUUGAAACUCAAAGGAAUUGACGGGGGCCCGCACAAGCAGUGGAUUAUGUGGUUUAAUUCGACGCAACGCGAAGAACCUUACCGGGAUUUGACAUCCUGCUAACGAAGUAGAGAUACAUUAGUGCCCUUCGGGGAAAGCAGAGACAGUGUGCAUGGUUGUCGUCAGCUCGUGUCGUGAGAUGUUGGGUUAAGUCCCGCAACGAGCGCAACCCUAUUGUUAGUUGCUACGCAAGAGCACUCUAGCGAGACUGGCGUUGACAAAACGGAGAAGGCGGGACGAAGUCAAUCAUUCUGCCCUUAUGUCCCGGGCUAACACGUAUACAAUGCGGUCACGAGGAGCAGUCGCAGGCGACAGCCAAGCGCUCAUCGGAUCAACUGCACUCACUGCUGAUGAUGCUAUCCGAUCAUGCGGGUAUGUCCGCCUGUUACCGCCGCCCAUUGACGAAUCUCGGACA
rnacentral:rRNA from 1 species